GACGAACGCUGGCGGCGUGCUUAACACAUGCAAGUCGAACGGAAAGGCCCUGCUUUUGUGGGGUGCUCGAGUGGCGAACGGGUGAGUAACACGUGAGUAACCUGCCCUUGACUUUGGGAUAACUUCAGGAAACUGGGGCUAAUACCGGAUAGGAGCUCCUGCUGCAUGGUGGGGGUUGGAAAGUUUCGGCGGUUGGGGAUGGACUCGCGGCUUAUCAGCUUGUUGGUGGGGUAGUGGCUUACCAAGGCUUUGACGGGUAGCCGGCCUGAGAGGGUGACCGGCAGAGUGGGGACGAGAGGAGGGCCGAGCGCCGUAGGGGGGGCAGCGGGGGGGAGUGUGAAAGAGGGGGGGGAAGCCUGCGGAACACACGCCGGGGGGGGGAGGCGGGCUUGGGGGUUGAAAACGGAUUCCGCGGGGAACAAGGGGGGAGUGCCGGAAGGGGGAAAAGAAGCACCGGCAAACUACGUC
rnacentral:rRNA from 1 species